AUAAAAUGUUCAACAUGUUGUACAAGAGCAUUAUUCGUUGCCUGUUUCAGUGUGGGGAUGGUGAUGGCAGUCUGACGACAUUGGCUUGUCGUGACCUUGGAGAGAGAAACUAGUGCUAUGGAUAACAACAGGGCAAAUCAAUUGAAUCCGAAUCACCGGUCUUUCUGGAAGAGCAGGGGACAUUCUGACAGACCGAGCAAUUGGCUAGGUUUACUGGGCGAUAUUUUGAGUGCUGUUGUUCCUUUAACCCAGGCAGCUUUAAACAACAGAUCAAACCAACUUAACCCCAACAGUCCAGUCUUCAAAAGCUCCAGAUCAUCCUAAAAUUCACGAAAUGACUCUUUGUCAAUUCGCUUUUCUCAAAAAGAUAUCUAAAAAUAAUCGUCUGAGAAGUCUACUGUUCUCCGAAAAUUUAGAUUAUUGAGAAAGUAAUGGAACUGUUUGAGAACCCAUAUUGUUUUAUACACUAAAAUAUUCAUUCUGAAUACCCUAUCAUUCGAUGUACCAUAUCAAUCAUACAAAUGCAAAAAUAUACAGGGUGUCCAAAUAUUUGUCAACCUAAUUUAAUAGGCACUCUGUAUAUUUUUUCAUUUGCCUGAUUGAUUUGGUUCAUCAAAUAAUCGGGUAUAUUAUUAUUUGUAUUUCCAAAAUUGUGAAAAUACGAAGCAUUUUCAAUAAUACAUUCGACUAUUCAUUCGGGACACCAUGCAUAUUUUUGCAUUUGUUUCAUUUGGGUUGAACAACACAAAGUUGCAGAAACUGUCAUUUCUCAACACUAGUAACUUGUUGUUUCCCAAUAAUAAUGUGUUAAUGAUGAACAAGUGACUCUUCUUUACAGUAUUGUAUUUCUUGUGCAACACUAAUCAUCCAAUUGCAAAAAUAUACAGGGUGUCCCUAAAAUCUGUUAGGCACACCCUGUAACGCAUAUAAACAUUAUUUCACUUUUUUUUUUCAGAAUUAUUUUGUUGUAUGAGUACUUGAUCUGUCUGUAAACAAUAUAAAAAUUACUGCAAUAAAUUUUACUUCCUUAAAGUUCUA